rnacentral:lncRNA from 1 species
CUCCACUGGGGCUGCUUUGACCUCAUUGCAGGCUACGAUGUAAGGUGCUGCUGUGACCUGCUCAUCUCCCACAGACCAGCCACGUGCAGUGCUGCUCUCUCGGUUUUCUGGAAACUGAGGAUAUGGCAGCAGGAUGUAGCACUGUAAGGAAUGUCUCAGACAGCAUCUCCAGUUGUUUGUUCACUUUGUGACAGGAGGUGGACAGAGUUGCUAGUUGUUUAUUUUAAGAGUUAAAGUAUUUUGAAAAGAAGGUCCCAUAUGAUCUCUACCAUGUAAUUCCAUGCCAUGGUCAGCAGCAUUUUAUAUAGGUAAGCCAAAACCAUAAUUUUUCACAAUCUUCUGUCAUCCCAAAUGAUAUUUAACGGUAAUUAUAUAUUUUUGCCUUUUCAUAUUGAGCUGAUAUGAAUACUUUUAUAUCUAUAGACAGCAUU